UUCUUGAAAAUAUUCCAAGUAAUCUCUGCCCUAUGAAACAUUUAAAUGGCCGCAGUAUUCUGACUGUGCAAAGGUAGCAUAAUCAUUUGUUUUUUUAUUGAAAACUAGAAUGAAAGAGGCGACGAGAGGCAAACUUUUUAUYUUAAAAAUAAAAUUAACCUCCAGCUCAAAAGGCCUGGAUUUUUCGGAAAGACGAUAAGACCCUGUAAAACUUCACUUGCAACUAAAAAAUCACAUCGUUUUUAUUCUAUAUCUAAGUUAAGCUGGGGCGGCACACAUAUAAACUAUGUUAUAUUUAAAUAUAUAAAUAUAGAAAAAUAGAACUUUUACAUAAAAAUAUUAAACAAGUUACUUCAGGGAUAACAGCAUAAUUUUUUUUGAAAGUCCUUAUUGGUAAAAAAGUUUAUGACCUCGAUGUUGAAUUGAGAUGCCUUUUUUGUGCAGCAGCAAAAUAAGGCAGUCUGUUCGACUGUU
rnacentral:rRNA from 1 species